rnacentral:tRNA from 1 species
GCCGGUGUGGCGAAAAUGGUUUACGCAGCUCAAGUUAGUUUGAUUUGCGGCCAAGGCCUUGGGAAUCGUGGCCUGUAAGGCGUGGGGGUUCGAGUCCCUCCAUCGGUA